rnacentral:rRNA from 1 species
UCGAUGAAGAACGCAGCGAAAUGCGAUACGUAGUGUGAAUUGCAGAAUUCCGCGAAUCAUCGAGUCUUUGAACGCAAGUUGCGCCCGAGGCUUGUCCAAGGGCAUUUCCGCUAGAGCGUCACCGCGCCCCCCACCGAUCCGCUCCCGCGGGGAGUCUGGUCGAGUGGAAGUGGCCGUCCCGGUCUUGGCCUUCGCGCCGAGUGAAGGGUCGGCUGAAAUGGAUGGAGUUGGGCCGCCGUGGUGACACAGUCCGCGAUCGGUGAUUUUUCGGUGAGCCUCCCUUGGGGAGGGGAGCCGUCAAUUUUUCUAAGUGCGUGGCUGCGUCCCCCAGUUGGUUCACCUCGUGCAGGUCUUGCGCGCCCCCGCGGCGCGCGCGUCACGCAUCAGACCUCUAAUCGGAAAAGACUACCCGCUGAGUUUAAGCAUAUCAAUAAGCGG